rnacentral:rRNA from 1 species
GAUGAACGCUGGCGGCGUGCCUAAUACAUGCAAGUCGAGCGAACGGACGAGAAGCUUGCUUCUCUGAUGUUAGCGGCGGACGGGUGAGUAACACGUGGAUAACCUACCUAUAAGACUGGGAUAACUUCGGGAAACCGGAGCUAAUACCGGAUAAUAUUUUGAACCGCAUGGUUCAAAAGUGAAAGACGGUCUUGCUGUCACUUAUAGAUGGAUCCGCGCUGCAUUAGCUAGUUGGUAAGGUAACGGCUUACCAAGGCAACGAUGCAUAGCCGACCUGAGAGGGUGAUCGGCCACACUGGAACUGAGACACGGUCCAGACUCCUACGGGAGGCAGCAGUAGGGAAUCUUCCGCAAUGGGCGAAAGUCUGACGGAGCAACGCCGCGUGAGUGAUGAAGGUCUUCGGAUCGUANAACUCUGUUAUUAGGGAAGAACAUAUGUGUAAGUAACUGUGCACAUCUUGACGGUACCUAAUCAGAAAGCCACGGCUAACUACGUGCCAGCAGCCGCGGUAAUACGUANGUGGCAAGCGUUAUCCGGAAUUUAUGGGCGUNAAGCGCGCGUAGCGGUUUUUUAGUCUGAUGUGAAAGCCCACGGCUCAACCGUGGAGGGUCAUUGGAAACUGGAAAACUUGAGUGCAGAAGAGGAAAGUGGAAUUCCAUGUGUAGCGGUGAAAUGCGCAGAGAUAUGGAGGAACACCAGUGGCGAAGGCGACUUUCUGGUCUGUAACUGACGCUGAUGUGCGAAAGCGUGGGGAUCAAACAGGAUUAGAUACCCUGGUAGUCCACGCCGUAAACGAUGAGUGCUAAGUGUUAGGGGGUUUCCGCCCCUUAGUGCUGCAGCUAACGCAUUAAGCACUCCGCCUGGGGAGUACGACCGCAAGGUUGAGACUCAAAGGAAUUGACGGGGACCCGCACAAGCGGUGGAGCAUGUGGUUUAAUUCGAAGCAACGCGAAGAACCUUACCAAAUCUUGACAUCCUCUGACCCCUCUAGAGAUAGAGUUUUCCCCUUCGGGGGACAGAGUGACAGGUGGUGCAUGGUUGUCGUCAGCUCGUGUCGUGAGAUGUUGGGUUAAGUCCCGCAACGAGCGCAACCCUUAAGCUUAGUUGCCAUCAUUAAGUUGGGCACUCUAAGUUGACUGCCGGUGACAAACCGGAGGAAGGUGGGGAUGACGUCAAAUCAUCAUGCCCCUUAUGAUUUGGGCUACACACGUGCUACAAUGGACAAUACAAAGGGCAGCGAAACCGCGAGGUCAAGCAAAUCCCAUAAAGUUGUUCUCAGUUCGGAUUGUAGUCUGCAACUCGACUACAUGAAGCUGGAAUCGCUAGUAAUCGUAGAUCAGCAUGCUACGGUGAAUACGUUCCCGGGUCU